rnacentral:rRNA from 1 species
GACGUAGGGCGCGAGCGUUGUCCGGAUUUAUUGGGCGUAAAGAGCUCGUAGGCGGCUCGUUGCGUCGGCUGUGAAAACCCGCAGCUCAACUGUGGGCUUGCAGCUGAUACGGGCGGGCUGGGAUUCGGUAGGGGAGACUGGAAUUCCUGGUGUAGCGGUGAAAUGACGCAGAUAUCUGGAGGAACACCGGUGGCGAAGGCGGCAUCCUGGACCGGUAUUGACGCUGAGGCGCGAAAGCCAGGGGAGCAAACGGG